rnacentral:misc_RNA from 1 species
CAACACUCAAGCUCUGCUUGGUAUUGGACCGCAUCAGUUCUGAUCGGUCUUAAAAUCAGUGGCGGUGCCAUCGUGCUCUAAGCGUAGUAAUACUCCUCGCUACAGAGUCUCGGUGUGUGCUUGCCAGCAACCCCCAACUUUCUAA